UACAGAGGGUGCAAGCGUUGUUCGGAAUUACUGGGCGUAAAGCGCGUGUAGGCGGCGCGUUAAGUCGGAUGUGAAAUCCCUCGGCUCAACCGAGGAACUGCAUCCGAUACUGGCGUGCUUGAGUGUCGGAGGGGGUGGCGGAAUUCCCGGUGUAGAGGUGAAAUUCGUAGAUAUCGGGAGGAACACCUGUGGCGAAGGCGGCCACCUGGACGACUACUGACGCUGAGACGCGAAAGCGUGGGGAGCAAACAGG
rnacentral:rRNA from 1 species